AUUGAACGCUGGCGGCAGGCUUAACACAUGCAAGUCGGACGGUAACAGGGAGGAAGCUUGCUUUCUUUGCUGACGAGUGGCGGACGGGUGAGUAAUGCUUGGGAAUCUGUUUUAUGGAGGGGGAUAACUACGGGAAACUGUAGCUAAUACCGCGUAAUAUCGAGAGAUUAAAGUGUGGGACCGUAAGGCCACAUGCCAUAGAGUGAGCCCAAGUGGGAUUAGGUAGUUGGUGGGGUAAAGGCCUACCAAGCCGUCGAUCUCUAGCUGGUCUGAGAGGAUGACCAGCCACACUGGGACUGAGACACGGCCCAGACUCCUACGGGAGGCAGCAGUGGGGAAUAUUGCACAAUGGGCGCAAGCCUGAUGCAGCCAUGCCGCGUGAAUGAAGAAGGCCUUCGGGUUGUAAAGUUCUUUCGGUGGUGAGGAAGGUUGUAAUGUUAAUAGCAUUAUAAUUUGACGUUAGCCACAGAAGAAGCACCGGCUAACUCCGUGCCAGCAGCCGCGGUAAUACGGAGGGUGCGAGCGUUAAUCGGAAUAACUGGGCGUAAAGGGCACGCAGGCGGAUACUUAAGUGAGGUGUGAAAGCCCUGGGCUUAACCUAGGAAUUGCAUUUCGUACUGGGUAUCUAGAGUAUUUUAGGGAGGGGUAGAAUUCCACGUGUAGCGGUGAAAUGCGUAGAGAUGUGGAGGAAUACCGAAGGCGAAGGCAGCCCCUUGGGGGAAUACUGACGCUCAUGUGCGAAAGCGUGGGGAGCAAACAGG
rnacentral:rRNA from 1 species